AUCUGCUCAGGUCGAACGCGGCGGCGUGCCUAAUACAUCAUCACGCCUCUUUUUCCACGAGCUUGCUCCUCUAAAAGAGGAGUGGCGAACGGGUGAGUAACACGUGGGUAACCUGCCCAUCAGAAGGGGAUAACCUUGGAAACAGGUGCUAAUACCGUAUAACAUAAACCGCAUGGUUUCGAUUUGAAAGCGCUUUCGGUGUCCUAGAUGGACCCGCGGUGCAUUAGCUAGUUGGUGAGGUAACGGCUCACCAAGGCGACGAUGCAUAGCCGACCUGAGAGGGUGAUCGGCCACAUUGGGACUGAGACACGGCCCAAACUCCUACGGGAGGCAGCAGUAGGGAAUCUUCGCAAUGGACGAAAGUCUGACGAGCAACGCCGCGUGAGUGAAGAAGGUUUUCGGAUCGUAAAACUCUGUUGUUAGAGAAGAAUCAAGGAGAGAGUAACCUGUUCAUCCCUUGACGUAUACAAAGCC
rnacentral:rRNA from 1 species